UACGUAGGGGGCAAGCGUUGUCCGGAUUUAUUGGGCGUAAAGAGCGUGUAGGCGGCUAGGUAGGUCCGUUGUGAAAACUCGAGGCUCAACCUCGAGACGCCGGUGGAAACCAUCUAGCUAGAGUCCGGAAGAGGAGAGUGGAAUUCCUGGUGUAGCGGUGAAAUGCGCAGAUAUCAGGAAGAAUACCCGUGGCGAAGGCGGCUCUCUGGUACGUGACUGACGCUGAGACGCGAAAGCGUGGGGAGCGAACAGG
rnacentral:rRNA from 1 species